rnacentral:rRNA from 1 species
GCUAAGGCCGAUGGCGACCGGCGCACGGGUGAGUAACACGUAUCCAACCUGCCGUCUACUCUUGGACAGCCUUCUGAAAGGAAGAUUAAUACAAGAUGGCAUCAUGAGUCCGCAUGUUCACAUGAUUAAAGGUAUUCCGGUAGACGAUGGGGAUGCGUUCCAUUAGAUAGUAGGCGGGGUAACGGCCCACCUAGUCUUCGAUGGAUAGGGGUUCUGAGAGGAAGGUCCCCCACAUUGGAACUGAGACACGGUCCAAACUCCUACGGGAGGCAGCAGUGAGGAAUAUUGGUCAAUGGGCGAGAGCCUGAACCAGCCAAGUAGCGUGAAGGAUGAAGGUCCUACGGAUUGUAAACUUCUUUUAUACGGGAAUAAAGUAUCCUACGUGUAGGAUUUUGUAUGUACCGUAUGAAUAAGCAUCGGCUAACUCCGUGCCAGCAGCCGCGGUAAUACGGAGGAUGCGAGCGUUAUCCGGAUUUAUUGGGUUUAAAGGGAGCGCAGACGGGAGAUUAAGUCAGUUGUGAAAGUUUGCGGCUCAACCGUAAAAUUGCAGUUGAUACUGGUUUCCUUGAGUGCAGUUGAGGCAGGCGGAAUUCGUGGUGUAGCGGUGAAAUGCUUAGAUAUCACGAAGAACCCCGAUU